CACGUAGUUAGCCGUGACUUUCUAAGUAAUUACCGUCAAAUAAAGGCCAGUUACUACCUCUAUCUUUCUUCACUACCAACAGAGCUUUACGAGCCGAAACCCUUCUUCACUCACGCGGCGUUGCUCCAUCAGACUUUCGUUCCAUUGUGGAAGAUUCCCUACUGCUGCCUCCCGUAGGAGUUUGGGCCGUGUCUCAGUCCCAAUGUGGCCGAUCAGUCUCUCAACUCGGCUAUGCAUCAUUGCCUUGGUAAGCCGUUACCUUACCAACUAGCUAAUGCACCGCAGGUCCAUCCAAGAGUGAUAGCAGAACCAUCUUUCAAACUCUAGACAUGCGUCUAGUGUUGUUAUCCGGUAUAGCAUCUGUUUCCAGGUGUUAUCCCAGUCUCUUGGCAGGUUACCCACGUGUUACUCACCGUCCGCCGCUCGCUUGUAUCUAGUUCAUUUAGUGUCAAGCACCUAAAAUCAUCUAGGCAAGCUGCUCGACUUGCU
rnacentral:rRNA from 1 species